GAUGAACGCUGGCGGCGUGCUUAACACAUGCAAGUCGAACGGUGAAGCACAGCUUUCUCUGUGUAUCAGUGUCGAACAGGGGAGUGACACGCGAGCAACCUGCCCCUGAGACUGUGAGAAACGCUCAAGACGGCGGCGAAAACAGGAGAUGAGCUGCGACGGCGCGGGGAGGGGGUGGAAAGGUUUGUCGGUCUGGGAUGGGCUCACGGCCUAUCAGCUUGUUGGUGGGGUAAUGGCUCACCAAGGCGUCGACGGGUAGCCGGCCUGAGAGGGUGACCGGCCACACUGGGACUGAGACACGGCCCAGACUCCUACGGGAGGCAGCAGUGGGGAAUAUUGCACAAUGGGCGAAAGCCUGAUGCAGCAACGCCGCGUGAGGGAUGACGGCCUUCGGGUUGUAAACCUCUUUUACCAGGGACGAAGCGAAAGUGACGGUAAUUGGAGAAAAAGCGCCGGCUAACUACGUG
rnacentral:rRNA from 1 species